rnacentral:rRNA from 1 species
GACGAGGGAUCCUAGCGUUGCUCGGAAUUAUUGGGCGUAAAGCGGGUGUAGGUGGCUUGGUAAGUCAGAUGUGAAAGCCCUGGGCUUAACCCAGGAAGUGCAUUUGAUACUGCUAAGCUUGAGUGCGAGAGAGGUUAAUAGAAUACCUGGUGUAGUGGUGAAAUACGUAGAUAUCAGGUGGAACACCGGAGGCGAAGGCGGUUAACUGGCUCGACACUGACACUGAGACCCGAAAGUGCGGGGAUCAAACAGGA